GCCUUGCCAGCCCGCUCAGAAACUCAAAGGAAUUGACGGGGGCCCGCACAAGCGGCGGAGCAUGUGGAUUAAUUCGAUGCAACGCGAAGAACCUUACCUGGGUUUUGACAUACACCGGAAAACCGUAGAGAUACGGUCCCCCUUGUGGUCGGUGUACAGGUGGUGCAUGGCUGUCGUCAGCUCGUGUCGUGAGAUGUUGGGUUAAGUCCCGCAACGAGCGCAACCCUUUGUCUUAUGUUGCCAGCACGUGAUGGUGGGGACUCGUAAGAGACUGCCGGGGUCAACUCGGAGGAAGGUGGGGACGACGUCAAGUCAUCAUGCCCCUUAUGUCCAGGGCUUCACACAUGCUACAAUGGCCAGUACAGAGGGCUGCGAGACCGUGAGGUGGAGCGAAUCCCUUAAAGCUGGUCUCAGUUCGGAUCGGGGUCUGCAACUCGACCCCGUGAAGUCGGAGUCGCUAGUAAUCGCAGAUCAGCAACGCUGCGGUGAAUACGUUCCCGGGCCUU
rnacentral:rRNA from 1 species